rnacentral:rRNA from 1 species
AAACCAGCACCUCAAGUGGUCAGGAUGAUUAUUGGGCCUAAAGCAUCCGUAGCCGGCUCUGUAAGUUUUCGGUUAAAUCUGUACGCUCAACGUACAGGCUGCUGGGAAUACUGCAGGGCUAGGGAGUGGGAGAGAUAGACGGUACUCGGGAGGAAGUGGUAAAAUGCUUUGAUCUCUCGAUGACCACCUGUGGCGAAGGCGGUCUAUCAGAACACGUCCGACGGUGAGGGAUGAAAGCUGGGGGAGCAAACCGGAUUAGAUACCCUAGUAGUCC